GUCCGAUUCAGUUUUGGUAUGGUUUUAGUUCGAUUCUUAGUGAAGAGCUAAAAUCAAAUCAAAAUAACUUUAAUUCAGCAUAAUUUUUAUAGGUUCGAUACGAUUUUUCGAUUUAGUUGGAGACCUUCGAGAAUAGUGCACAACCCCAAUCAUUAAUAUGAUAUAACUGUUAUUCUGAUGUGAUAAACAAAAGUGUGUUAUAGCUUCUAAAUGAAUGAAUCGAGGAUAUAAUAGUAAUUUUAACUUU
rnacentral:misc_RNA from 1 species